rnacentral:rRNA from 1 species
GACGAACGCUGGCGGCGUGCUUAACACAUGCAAGUCGAACGGAGCGAAUGAAAGCUUGCUUUUAUGAGCUUAGUGGCAAACGGGUGAGUAACACGUAGACAACCUGCCGAUCAGAUGGGGACAACAUUCCGAAAGGAAUGCUAAUACCGAAUGGCGUGUGGGGGAGGCAUCUCCCCUAUAUGAAAGAUGGCCUCUAUAUAUAAGCUAUCACUGAUCGAUGGGUCUGCGUCUGAUUAGCUAGUAGGUAAGGUAACGGCUUACCUAGGCGACGAUCAGUAGCCGGUCUGAGAGGAUGAACGGCCACAUUGGGACUGAGACACGGCCCAGACUCCUACGGGAGGCAGCAGUGGGGAAUCUUCCGCAAUGGGCGCAAGCCUGACGGAGCAACGCCGCGUGAGUGAAGAAGGUCUUCGGAUCGUAAAGCUCUGUUGAAGGGGACGAACGUAUAUAGUGCGAAU